AGAGUUUGAUCAUGGCUCAGAUUGAACGCUGGCGGCAUGCUUAAUACAUGCAAGUCGAACGGUAACAUGCCCUUCGGGGUGAUGACGAGUGGCGGACGGGUGAGUAAUGCAUAGGAAUCUACCCAGUAGACGGGGAACAACUUGGGGAAACUCAAGCUAAUACCGCGUAAUCCUUACGGGGGAUAGCGGGGGACUUUUUCGGAAGCCUCGCGAUAUUGGAUGAGCCUAUGUCGGAUUAGCUAGUUGGUGGGGUAAAAGCUUACCAAGGCGACGAUCCGUAGCUGGUCUGAGAGGACGAUCAGCCACACUGGGACUGAGACACGGCCCAGACUCCUACGGGAGGCAGCAGUAGGGAAUAUUGGACAAUGGGCGAAAGCCUGAUCCAGCAAUGCCGCGUGUGUGAAGAAGGCCUGCGGGUUGUAAAGCACUUUCAGUUGGGAAGAAAAGCAUUGGGUUAAUACCCUGAUGUAUUGACGUUACCAACAGAAGAAGCACCGGCUAACUCUGUGCCAGCAGCCGCGGUAAUACAGAGGGUGCGAGCGUUAAUCGGAAUUACUGGGCGUAAAGCGUACGUAGGCGGUUGAGUCAGUCGGAUGUGAAAGCCCAAGGCUUAA
rnacentral:rRNA from 1 species